GUGUGGUUCUGCCGCCCGCGAAGCGAGCCCAGGAAGGCGGUGACUGAGCUUGAGACGGUGAGGACACAGAGCGCGACGAGCUUGAUUCCAAAACGGUGAGUGCCAGACCGAGAGAGAAGUGACACACCGGAGACGAGAGUGGCGAGAGGCGUUGAGGCUUGAGGGUAGGAGUGGGUCACUGCGGAUCAGAUUAGGGGAUUUGGGUUUCGGGGUGGGGUCGAGAGAGCAGAGAGACGAGUUUAAUGAAAACCCGAUUCGGUCACCGGGUUUAAUGAAAACCCGUCGGGUCAAUUAACUAAGAAAAAGCACCGAGGAU